rnacentral:rRNA from 1 species
GGGCCUAACCAUGCAAGUCGAGCGAUGAAGCUUUCUUCGGAAAGUGGAUUAGCGGCGGACGGGUGAGUAACACGUGGGCAACCUACCUCAGAAUGGGGGAUAGCCUCUCGAAAGGGAGAUUAAUACCGCAUAUAAUCAGAGUAUCGCAUGGUACUUUGAUGAAAGGAGUAAUCCGAUCUGAGAUGGGCCCGCGGCGCAUUAGCUAGUUGGUGAGGUAACGGCUCACCAAGGCAACGAUGCGUAGCCGACCUGAGAGGGUGAUCGGCCACAUUGGAACUGAGACACGGUCCAGACUCCUACGGGAGGCAGCAGUGGGGAAUAUUGCACAAUGGGGGAAACCCUGAUGCAGCAACGCCGCGUGAGUGAUGACGGUCUUCGGAUUGUAAAGCUCUGUCUUUUGGGACGAUAAUGACGGUACCAAAGGAGGAAGCCACGGCUAACUACGUGCCAGCAGCCGCGGUAAUACGUAGGUGGCAAGCGUUGUCCGGAUUUACUGGGCGUAAAGGGUGCGUAGGUG